UUCAUGGAUACUUCCAUGCAGUCAUUUUUAUCUUGAAGGCGCUUAAAGGCCUUACCCAUGUCUAACGUACUUACUGCUUUCUUUCAGUGCUAAAGAAAUGGAACUAUCCAUGCAGUCUUAUCUCUACACAUAGGUAUGACCCACGAGUUAGCAGAAUGAACUCAGAAAAAGAUGGAGACCUAAAGAGUCAAAUCAGCAAGCUCUGGCAAGAGGUAAACUCCUUGAAAGAAAUGCAAGCCCUGCAGACAGUUUGCCUGCGUGGAACAAAGGUGCACAAGAAAUGUUACUUGGCGUCUGAGGGAGGCAAACAUUUCCACGAAGCAAAUGAAGACUGCAUAGCCAAAGGGGGGACCCUGGCCAUCCCCAGAGANGGCGAUGAAACCAGCGCUCUCCGCGACUACAGCCGAAAGAGCUUGCCCGGGGUGACAGAUUUUUGGGUGGGUGUCACAGACAUGGUGAAUGAGGGGAAAUUUGUAGAUGUCAAUGGAAUGGUCCUCAACUACUUUAACUGGGACCGGUCACAGCCCAACGGAGGAAAGCGGGAAAACUGUGUCUUAUUCUCUCAGUCAGCUCAAGGGAANUGGGCAGAUGAAGCCUGCCGUACUGUGAAGCAAUAUAUUUGUGAAUUCCUGAUUCCUUAA
rnacentral:lncRNA from 1 species